UGGGGAAUAUUGGACAAUGGGCGAAAGCCUGCUCCAGCCAUGCCGCAUGUGUGAAGAAGGUCUUCGGAUUGUAAAGCACUUUAAGUUGGGAGGAAGGGCAUUAACCUAAUACGUUAGUGUUUUGACGUUACCGACAGAAUAAGCACCGGCUAACUCUGUGCCAGCAGCCGCGGUAAUACAGAGGGUGCAAGCGUUAAUCGGAAUUACUGGGCGUAAAGCGCGCGUAGGUGGUUUGUUAAGUUGGAUGUGAAAUCCCCGGGCUCAACCUGGGAACUGCAUUCAAAACUGACUGACUAGAGUAUGGUAGAGGGUGGUGGAAUUUCCUGUGUAGCGGUGAAAUGCGUAGAUAUAGGAAGGAACACCAGUGGCGAAGGCGACCACCUGGACUAAUACUGACACUGAGGUGCGAAAGCGUGGGGAGCAAACA
rnacentral:rRNA from 1 species